rnacentral:rRNA from 1 species
GCCUAUGGCCACCCCACCCUGAUCACAGAAGUUAAGCAGGGUCAGGCCUGGUUAGCACUUGGGUGGGACACUGCCUAGGAAUACCUGCUGCUCUACACU